UACGUAGGGGGCUAGCGUUGUUCGGAAUUACUGGGCGUAAAGCGCACGUAGGCGGAUCGAUCAGUCAGGGGUGAAAUCCCAGGGCUCAACCCUGGAACUGCCUUUGAUACUGUCGAUCUGGAGUAUGGAAGAGGUGAGUGGAAUUCCGAGUGUAGAGGUGAAAUUCGUAGAUAUUCGGAGGAACACCAGUGGCGAAGGCGAAUCUCUGGGCCUGACCUGACGCUCAGGCGCGAAAGCUAGGGGAGCAAACAGG
rnacentral:rRNA from 1 species